ACUGGCUUGGCCUUUGCAGCGGUCUUGCGCAUAGUGACACGGGCCUCACCAAAGAGAGCUGAUGAAGCCACGUUCUUCACUGACUCGCCGGCUAAGGCCGAGGAGAGGGACAUGGUGGUAGUCGCCAUUGCGCUGCUAAGGCGGGAGGUGUAUUGUGUGUUCCAAACAGUGAAAACUGAAGAGUGAGUGUGGAGAUGGUUUGAGACGAGUGGAGGAUGGAGCUAUUUAAGGAACUGAUUGAGCUCUGGUCUGUGUGUACCGACAAGAUAGAUAUAGACAGGAAAAAAAUCUUUGAUCUUCGAUGCUAUUCGUGCAGCAGUGAUCUCGUCAUCCCUCAGGACGUGGCAACUUGAGACCCAGAGAAAGGAGAUAUGUUGUGGCUAGGCCUAGGAUCUUGAUGGAGAAUGGAGACGUGUGAUUGGACGAUGGAUCACAUGUUGAUUCUCACAUCAUCAGCUCACGGUCUGCAUGCAACGAGAUAGUAAACUUGUCUCUGAUGAAGUGGGUAGCCCAAGUGUGGUCAAGAAAGUGAUGGCAAUUUUAGGCCAUACGAUGAUUACUUCGUAGAUAUUUAUUGAAACCGUACUGAAGUUUGGUAUUUACCGAGACCGAACCUUAGUCAUAACUUCGUAUUUUGGUCCCUGGCACGUCCGACCGACAAUGUUCGACAAGCUUUGACGCCGUCAGUGACUUUGUGAGGUUACGUCUCCCUGGAUUUUGGGUGCCCGUCUUCUUUUCUCUGGGACGGCGAUUUGCGUUUCAGAUCAUCGUCGCCAGUGUCUUCUAGCUCCGAUCAACGACUUCCGGCUACCGCCUCAACAACGUUUUCCUGACUCGAUGGUGUUUGGUGGUCCAUAGGUGGUAUUGAGUUUCGCUCACUGCGCGUUGUUGACGAGUGCAGGAGGAAGGUGGUGUGGAUUUUCCCAAGAACCUAUGUGUAAUUUUAAAUUUCUACAAGAAUGACUUUGUAAGGGUCAAUUGAUUUCAAUACAUGACCGUCGCCUUUUGGAAAAAAAAUAAGAUCUUAUUUAUCGACUUAACCAAAUGCGCAGCCCUGCUGGCAAACACAGAGCCGGGCAUUUCUCCGUAAAAAAGAAAGAAUAAAAAGAGAGAGCCGGACAUUUUGUAGAACUUAAAUAAUCCCCGAAAAACCCUGGUUUCAAAGAUGACACUAGAGGGACAGCGCUUCGCCGCGCCCGGCGUUAGGUGCAUAAUUUGUAGUAGAUUUUAGGCGGGUCUCCAAUGUAGAGUUGUUGAGUUGCUAAGGCCCGCAUAUGUAGGCGUCAAAUCUUUCUUUUUCUGCUGAUGUCUCAAGCGCGUUCAGUCAAUCGUGGAGUGGAGACUGAUUCUUGGUUAAGUUAUCCAUGUCUUUCAGCCAUGAUAGCCCAACAAAGAGGCCUAAAUACACGAACAUCACAGAAAGAUGAACAACCACUGAAAAAUGAAGCACAAUCUGGCAGACAAACAACAAUAUUCAGAACAUAUGUGAAGGAGCAUCAGAGUUAGUUCAGUAAACAUCCAUAAGCAAACAUCUCCCCAAAUGUGAAGCAUACAUAUACAAAUCCAAAAGGACCAGUGAUCCCAUAGCAAGCACAUUGCAGCUGCAAAAUCAAUGAGAACUGCUAUACAGACGACAUUCACAGAUGAUUUCAGCAUGACACUCCAUCUCACACCAUCCAUUCAAGACGCCAAUGUACAGAAAGUUGUUGGAUUUGACAUCGGCUCAGGAUCGUGCAAGCAAAUGUCUGUGAAGUAGUUUCGAAAUCAAUCAACCAACAGUGGGCCCAUACUGCAGUAGGGCCACUCCACAGGGGCCAAAACACACCACGGGUCUACACAAACAGGAAGCAGCAUCAAACGGGCUCUCCGAACAGACAGCAUGAUCAUGAUGGUCGAUGGGCCAUAAGAAAAUGAGAGCAUAAGUUGCCAUCACCAAGAGCAACUUCUGAUUAAAUAACGGCCAAGUAUUUAUCGUUCUCAAUUUCUCAUGGAAAAACAAAUAGCCCAAAUUUUAUCGUUCUCAUUUCUCAUGGAGCAACGCACAGGCUACAUCCAGGACAUGAAACAAGCGGGCAGAUCAAACCAUUUCCCCAACGAUCCUUGUAAUUUACACCAUGAUGUUACAAUUUGAACCACAUAUUAUGUGUGCAGUUCACCGCAGUUUCCUUGAUGGGUACAACUCGCAGCUAGCGAGCGCCAACGCCUCACUUGCCGGGAACAAAGUUUGUGGCAAACGCCCAUGCGUUGUUGUUGACGGGGUCGGAGAGGUGGUCAGCAAGGUUCUCGAGUGGGCCCUUACCGGUGACAAUGGCCUGCACGAAGAAGCCAAACAUAGAGAACAUGGCGAGGCGGCCGUUCUUGACUUCCUUCACCUUGAGCUCUGCAAAUGCCUCGGGGUCAUCAGCCAGGCCCAACGGGUCGAAGCUGCCACCAGGGUAGAGUGGGUCGACUAUCUCACCAAGUGGGCCCCCGGCAACGCGGUACCCCUCAACGGCACCCAUGAGCACGACUUGGCAUGCCCAAAUAGCAAGGAUGCUCUGUGCAUGCACGAGGCUGGGGUUGCCCAGGUAGUCGAGGCCACCCUCGCUGAAGAUUUGGGAGCCGGCCUUGAACCACACGGCCUCACCGAACUUAACACCAUUGCGUGCAAGAAGCUCGGGGAAGACGCAUCCGAGCGCACCGAGCAUGGCCCACCGGCAGUGGAUCACCUCGAGCUCCCGGUUCUUGGCAAAGGUCUCGGGGUCGGCCGAGAGCCCCGCGGUGUCCCACCCGUAGUCGCCGGGGAACUCGCCGGUCAAGUAGCUCGGAGGGUCGCCGGAAAGCGGGCCGAGGUAGAGCACACGGUCGGCACCGUACCAUGGGCUGCCUGAUGAAACCUGCUUGGCCUUUGCAGCGGUCUUGCGCAUAGUGACACGGGCCUCACCAAAGAGAGCUGAUGAAGCCACGUUCUUCACCGACUUGCCGGCGAAGGUCGAGGAGAGGGACAUGGUGGUGGUCGCCAUUGCGCUGCUAAGGCGGAAUGUGUAUUGUGUGUUCCAAACAGUGAAAACUGAAGAGUGGGUGUGGAGAUGGUUUGAGACGAGUGGAGGAUGGAGCUAUUUAAGGAACUGGAGGGGUUGAGGCAUUGAGCUCUGGUCUGUUUGUACCGACAAGAUUGAUAUAGACAGGAAAAAAUCUUGACCUUCGAUGCUAUUGGUGCAGUAGAGAUCUCGUCAUCCCUCAGGACGUGGCAACGUGAGACCCAAAGAAAGGAGAUAUGUUGUGGCUAGGCCUAGGAUCUUGUUGGAGAUUGGAGAUGUAUGAUUGGAUGAUGGAUCACAUGUUGAUUCUCACAUCAUCACGGUCUGCAUGCAACGAGAAAAUAAACUUGUUUCUGAUGAAGUAGGUAGCGCAAGUGUGGUCAAGAAAGUGAUGGCAAUUUUAGGCCAUACGAUGAUUACUAGAGAUUAUUGAAACCUUCCUGAAGUUUGGUAUUUACCGAGACCAAACCUUAGUCAUAACUUCGUGGUUUGGUCCAUGGCACGUCCGACCAACAAUGUUCGACAAGCUUUGACGCCAUCAGUGACUUUGUGAGGUUAUGUCUCCUGGAUUUUGGAUGGCCGUCUUCUUUUCUCUGGGACGGCAAUUUGUGUUUUAGAUCAUCAUUGGCAGCAUCUUCUAGCUUCGAUCGACGACUUCCAGCUGCCGCAUCAACAACAUUUGUCUGACUCCGAUGGUGUUUUGCUGGUCCAUAGGCAGUAUCUAGUUCCGCUCACGGCGCGUCGUCGACGAGUGUAGGAGAAAGGUGGUGUGGAUUUUCCCAAAAACCUAUGUUUAAUUUUAAAUUUUUACAAGAAUGACUUUGUAAGGGUCAAUUGUUUUCAAUACAUGACCUUCGUCUUUUGGAAAAAAUAAGAUACGACUUAACCAAAUUAAAUGCGCAGCCCAAAGACAGAGCGGGGCAUUUCUCCGUAAAAAAAUAAAGAAUAAAAAGAGAGAGCCGGACAUUUUGUAACACUUAAAUGAUCCCCCGAAAAACCCUGGUUUCAAAGAUGAUACUAGAGGGGACGCCGCGCUUCGCCGCGCCCGGCGUUAGGUGCAUAAUUUGUAGGAGAUUUUAGGCGGGCCUGCCCAUGUAGAGUUGUUGAGUUGCUAAGAGCAUCUCCAGCCGUUGGCCCCCCAGGGGGCGCCUAAAAUUGCCGCCUGGGGGUGACCCAGCGAAAAAAAUGGGCCUGGGGGCGAGUUGGCCCCCAGCCGCCGCCCCCAGGGCCGGCCCCAGACGCGGGGAAAAAAAUUGUGUAGCAAAUUUACGCAAAGUUCGGCUAAAACACGCCAAAUUUCGGCAAACUUGGACUUAUAUUCGCGGAUUUAAGUCGAGUAGUCGCCAUUACAUAUAAAAACUAAUAAAAAAAACUUGCUGAAGGCCGAGAAGUCGCCGUCGUCGCCACCAUCGUCGGCCUUCUCCUCCUUGACUCAGGCGCCCCUGCUGGACCCCUCCCCGGCUGGUGGCGGCGGCGGCGCGUCGUCGUCGUCGUCGCUGUCGUCGAUGAUGACGACUCCUCCUUCGUCACGGCCUCGGCGGCGCUGCUCGAAGCGCCGCAGGGCGGCGCGCUGGUGCUCUGUCGCCAUCUUGAUGGAGUCCUGGCGUGCCCAUUCAAGGGCCGCGUCGUCGUCGAGCUCGACCUCGCCGUGCUCCGUCUUCACUGGCGCCAGCCCCGGCUCCGUCUUUGGCUUGACGAAGCGCGGAGGAGGAGCCGACGAGGAGGCGCGCCGGCCGCCCUCGUUGAUGACGAUGCCGGGCUCGGCCUUGACGCCGAGCAGCGUCGGAGUGCCGGAGGAGUGGGAAGAGGAGCGGGAGGACGAAGAGGAGGAGGACGCACCGAACCUCCUUGGCGCCCAUUGCCCGUCGCGUCGGUGGUGCGCCGGGGCGGCCGCCCUCGCCGGGGGGUACGCCAACGGCGGGUUGUUGCCGCCCUCGAGGUGCGUCAGCACGCCCUGAAGUGUGCGGCCGGGGGCGCCCCACCACAGGUGGCGCCCCUCGCUGUUCUUCACGCCGCCGACCACCGGCGCCCCAUUGGUGGACGCCAGCCGCUGCUGCUGGCGACGCUCGAAGUACGCCGCCCAAGCCGCGUGGUUGUCGGCGGCGUACUGGGGGAGGGAGAGCUCGGCGUCGGUGAGGGAGGCGCGCACGAUCUCGACCUCGUCGGCGAAGUAGGAUGGUUUGGCCACGGCGUCGGGCAACGGGGGAAUGGGCACUCCCCCAUUGCUGAGCCUCCAGCCCGUCGGCCCGGCGCGCAUGUCCGGCGGCGCCGGGAUGUUCGCCUGGAACAGGAGCCAGGACUCCUGUUCGCGGAGCGAACGGCGGCCGAAGCCGUUGGUCGCCGCCUCGUCUCCGGGGAAACGCUCGGCCAUCGGGGAGAUGGAGUGGCUGAGGAGAAGAGAUCAGCGGCGGCGCUCGGGAGAUGGAGUGGCUGGGGGAGAAGAAGAGAUCGGCGGCGGCGCUCGGGAGAGGGAGGGAUGGGGGAGAAGAGCUCGGCGGCGGCGCUCGGGAGAGGUGGAGAGGUGGCACUCAUCACAGGCGAGCGAGGCCAUAUAUAGCCGCGCCGCGUCCGUGUGUACGCGUCCGUGGGAGGGGAGGCGUCGGCACGCCGCCCCGUGAACGCGCCGCCCGUGAGGAAUCAAUGGCAAAGCUGACCGGCGGCAGCCUUGCCAUUGAUUCCCCGCGGGAAACCGAGGCGUCGGGAGAAGACGAGGCGGGCGGUGUCGCUGACACGGCCGGCCCGCAGCGCUUUCGCGCCAAAAACGAUUCGCCCGGCGCCCCCAGCGCGCCGGUUCGGGUUGGGUCCGCCGGCGCCAAUUUCAGCCCGAGCUGGCAAAAAAGGGCCCCUGGGGACGUGACUGGGCCGAUUUUUUGGCGCCGGUGGCCGAAAAAUCGCCUGGGGGGCCUUGUUGGGGGCGCGGCUGGAGAUGCUCUAAGGCCCGCGUAUGUAGGCGUCAAAUCUUUCUUUUUCUCCUGAUGUCUCACGCACGUUCAGUCAAUCGUGGAGUGGAGACUGAUUUGUGGUUAAGUUGUCCAUCUCUUUCAGCCAUGACAGCCCAACAAAGAGGCCUAAAUACACGAACAUCAAGAAAGAUGAACAACCACUGAAAAAUAAAGCACAAUCUGGCAGACAAACAACAAUAUUCAGAACAUAUGUGAAGGAGCAUCAGAGUUAGUUCAGUAAACAUCCAUAAGCAAACAUCUCCCCAAAUGUGAAGCAUACAUAUACAAAUCCAAAAGUAGGACCACUGAUCCCAUAGCAAGCACAUUGCAGCUGCAAAAUCAAUCAAACAACUCUCAAACUGAGCAUCCCAACCUAAACACCUGCAUACAUGCCUGCUCCUCAAAAUCCCGAACAAAAUACAAAGGAAAGCACAGGAGGCCAAAUGUCAGCAGAGACGUCGCCAACAGAUGAUGCAUUGAACCCACACAGAAGAAGAGCAACCAGCAACACGCGAAGGGCACGGCCACGGCCACCAAGGCGGCGGGCAGAGCCACAACGGCGGCAGCAGGUGACCCCAAAUCAAGGAGCACUCACCACAAAGCAAGCCUCUCACGAACACGGAAGUUCACGGCAGAAAACAAACCCCAAAUCAAGGAACACCGACCAACAAAAAAAAAUGGCCCAUACUACUUCCUCAAAAAAAAAAAAUGGCCCAUACUACAGUAGGGCCACUCCACAGGGGCCAAAACACACCACGGGGCCACACAAACAGGAAGCAUCAUCAAACGGGCUCUCCGAACAGAGACAACAUGAUCAUGAUGGUCGAUGGACCAUAAGAAAAUGAGAGCAUAAGUUGCCAUCACCAAGAGCGACUUCUGAUUAAAUAACGGCCAAGUAUUUAUCGUUCUCCAUUUCUAAUGGAAAAACAAAUAGCCCAAGUAUUCAUCGUUCUCAUUUCUCAUGGAGCAACACACAGGCUACAUCCAGGACAUGAAGCAAGCGGGCAGAUCAAACCAUUUCCCCAACGAUCCUUGUAAUUUACACCAUGAUGUUACAAUUUGAACCACACAUUAUGUGUGCAGUUCUCCGCAGUUGCCUUGAUGGCUACAACUCGCAGCUAGCGAGCGCCGACUCCUCACUUGCCGGGAACAAAGUUUGUGGCAAACGCCCAUGCGUUGUUGUUGACAGGGUCGAAGAGGUGGUCGGCGAGGUUCUCGAGUGGGCCCUUGCCGGUGACGAUGGCCUGCACGAAGAAGCCAAACAUAGAGAACAUGGCGAGGCGGCCGUUCUUGACUUCCUUCACCUUGAGCUCCGCAAAUGCCUCUGGAUCGUCGGCCAGGCCCAGUGGGUCGAAGCUGCCGCCGGGGUAGAGUGGGUCAACUACCUCACCGAGUGGGCCGCCGGCAAUGCGGUACCCCUCAACGGCGCCCAUGAGCACGACUUGGCAUGCCCAUAUAGCAAGGAUGCUUUGUGCGUGCACGAGGCUGGGGUUGCCUAGGUAGUCGAGGCCACCCUCGCUGAAGAUCUGGGAACCGGCCUUGAACCAUACAGCCUCGCCGAACUUGACGCCGUUGCGUGCAAGAAGCUCGGGGAAGACGCAUCCGAGCGCACCGAGCAUGGCCCACCGGCAGUGGAUCACCUCGAGCUCCCGGUUCUUGGCAAAGGUCUCGGGGUCGGCCGAGAGCCCGGCGGUGUCCCACCCGUAGUCGCCUGGGAAUUCGCCGGUCAAGUAGCUCGGGGGCUCUCCGGAAAGCGGGCCGAGGUAGAGCACACGGUCGGCACCGUACCACGGGCUGCCUGAUGAAACCGGCUUGGCCUUUGCAGCGGUCUUGCGCAUAGUGACACGGGCCUCACCAAAGAGAGCUGAUGAAGCCACGUUCUUCGCCGACUUGCCGGCGAAGGCCGAGGAGAGGUACAUGGUGGUAGUCGCCAUUGUGCAACUAAGGCGGGAGGUGUAUUGUGUGUUCCAAACAGUGAAAACUGAAGAGUGAGUGUGGAGAUGGUUUGAGACGAGUGGAGGAUGGAGCUAUUUAAGGAACUGGAGCUAAUAUAGGGGAUUGAGC
rnacentral:lncRNA from 1 species